GCUGGGUGUGGUGACGGACCCCUGUAAUCCCAGCUACUCAGGAGGCUGAGGUGGGAGAAUCACUUCAACCCAGGAGGUGGAGGUUGCAGUGAGCCGAGAUUGUGCCACUGCACUCCAGCCUGGGUGGCAGAGCGAGACCCCAUCUCAC
rnacentral:SRP_RNA from 2 species